rnacentral:rRNA from 1 species
UGGUGGAGUGAUUCGUCUGGUUAAUUCCGAUAACGAACGAGACUCUGUCCUGCUAAAUAGUUCGAGCGUCCCUUUGUGUGCGCUCGAGCCUCUUCUUAGAGGGACUGGUGGCGUUUAGCCACACGAGAUUGAGCAAUAACA